rnacentral:tRNA from 1 species
GGGGGCGGAUUGUGACUGGUGUUGCGCCUGGUCUUCAAAACCAGUGUGGCGGAGUGCUCCUCCGCUGGGUGGGUUCGAUUCCCACACGCUCCCGCCA